rnacentral:rRNA from 1 species
UACGGAGGGGGCAAGCGUUGUUCGGAAUUACUGGGCGUAAAGGGCGCGCAGGCGGCUGCUCAAGUCAGGCGUGAAAGGCCUGGGCUCAACCCGGGAAUUGCGCUUGAGACUGGGCUGGCUUGAGUGCGGGAGAGGAUGGUGGAAUUCCCAGUGUAGAGGUGAAAUUCGUAGAUAUCAGGAAGAACACCAAUGGCGAAGGCAGCUCUCUGGGACGGUACUGACGCUGAGACGCGAAAGCGUGGGGAGCGAACAGG